AUGGAGGAUCAUCCUGGCCAUCCUAUUUCCAACUAUGAUUUCUUGUCAGGGAAUGGUUGUCAUACGAAGAAAUUAGUUCAUAAGAACUACGACCGGAACUCCUCAUCAGCCAAGUCUGGCCGGUCACAACAAGAAGCAUCUGCAACAAGUGACUGUAGUCUAAAUGAGCAACACACCUCAAGACCCCCAUCACAAUCUGACAAUGACAAUGAUCAUGGGAAGCCCGAUCAGCACAUGGUAAAGCCGCUUUUAUCUUUGGGGAACCCAGAGACUGUUGCUCCCCCACCAAUGCUUGAUUGUAGCCAAUCAUUUGCAUAUAUUCCUUAUACUGCUGAUGCUUAUGCUGGGAUCUUUCCAGGAUAUGCCUCGCACGCUAUUGUUCAUCCCCAAUUAAAUGCUGCAACAAACUCUCGUGUGCCGCUCCCUGUUGAGCCUGCAGCAGAAGAGCCAAUGUUUGUUAAUGCAAAGCAAUACCAUGCAAUUCUUAGGAGGAGGCAGAUACGUGCUAAAUUGGAGGCCCAAAAUAAGCUGGUGAAAGCCCGGAAGCCAUACCUUCAUGAAUCUCGGCACCGCCAUGCCAUGAAGCGAGCUCGUGGAACAGGAGGGCGGUUCCUCAACACAAAGCAACUCGAGGAGCAGAAGCAGAAGCAGGCUUCAGGUGGUGCAAGCUGUACAAAGGUCCUUGGCAAGAAUACACUCCUUCAGAGUAGCUCCGCCUUCGCACCUUCGGCAUCAGCUCCCUCUAACAUGUCAAGCUUUUCAACAACCGGCAUGUUGGCUAAUCAGGAGCGCACCUGCUUCCCCUCGGUUGGCUUCCGUCCCACGUUUAGCUUCAGUGCACUGAAUGGCAACGGGAAGCUGGCCCCAAACGGCAUGCACCAGCGCGCUUCCAUGAUGAGGUAA
rnacentral:rRNA from 1 species